rnacentral:lncRNA from 1 species
GAAUAUGACACUUGCAUUGGCAUGCUAUUAGGGGUCAUUUCUGCAGAAAGAUUUGGCUGAUUUGGUGGAUAUGAAGGAUAAAGUGCUGGAGAUGAGGAUCUAAUCUGUGGUUGCAUAUGGAGCUGCUGGGGUUGUUGAACCUGCUGAGGUGGCUGCUGUGUCCACUGCUGCUGAUAUUGGGGUAACGACUGUACCUGCGGGCUCUGGUUUGAUUGUGUCUGCUGAGGUGCCAUCCUAGAGAGAUCUUGAACUUGAGUUUGUGUGGGCAGAUAUUGAACCUGAGAUGGAGGCAAGUAAUACGACUGUGCUUGUGCCAUACUAUGAGAAGCCAAGGAUGGUGGGGGUGCCAUAGGAGGAGCCUGCUGAUGCUCA